GGCCUCGGGGCCGCUCUCCCGAGUCUCCAGCAUCUCCUCUCCGUCCCCCGCCUGCUGAGAGGGAGUGCUGCAAAUGUUGGCUCUACCAUCCCCCCUGAAGCCUUCUGGAAACUGAAGAAACCAUGUCAGAUAAGAAGCCCCGCAUAGAUUUGAGACUGCUGUAGUACAAUCUACAAACUUUGACGCCUUUCCUAUUGAAUGUUGUUAUCUUUUAGAAAAAGGAAAGAAUGGUUCAACAAGUUCCAGAAAACGUAACUUUUCCAAAUGAGGAAG